rnacentral:rRNA from 1 species
GAUGAACGCUGGCGGCGUGCCUAAUACAUGCAAGUCGAGCGAACAGGCGAGGAGCUUGCUCCUCUGACGUUAGCGGCGGACGGGUGAGUAACACGUGGAUAACCUACCUUUAAGACGGGGAUAACUUCGGGAAACGGGAGCUAAUACCGGAUAAUAUAUUGAACCGCAUGGUUCAUUAGUGAAAGAGGGUUUUGCUGCACUUCAAGGAGGAACCGGGGCCGCUUAAGUAGUUGGGUAAGGUAACGCCUUGCCAAGGCAACGAUCCGUAGCCGACCUGAGAGGGUGAUCGGCCACACUGGAACUGAGACACGGUCCAGACUCCUACGGGAGGCAGCAGUAGGGAAUCUUCCGCAAUGGGCGAAAGCCUGACGGAGCAACGCCGCGUGAGUGAUGAAGGUCUUCGGAUCGUAAAACUCUGUUAUUAGGGAAGAACAAAUGUGUAAGUAACUAUGCACGUCUUGACGGUACCUAAUCAGAAAGCCACGGCUAACUACGUG